rnacentral:rRNA from 1 species
CGCGUAGGCGGCUCGGUAAGUCUGGAGUGAAAGUCCUGCUUUUAAGGUGGGGAUUGCUUUGGAUACUGUCGGGCUUGAGUGCAGGAGAGGUUAGUGGAAUUCCCAGUGUAGCGGUGAAAUGCGUAGAGAUUGGGAGGAACACCAGUGGCGAAGGCGACUUACUGGACUGUAACUGACGCUGAGGCGCGAAAGUGUGGGGAGCAAACA